UUUUCUCCUCUCAUACUCAAACCACCGGACCACCACGGCUACUGUACCCCUUGUUCUUUUUUUUCUGACGUAUUCUGCCGAGAUGGGACUAGCGCAUGGCUCGAUACAUCACAAUUAAGAAGGGUUCUCUUUCUCCUUGUUCAUCGCUAUUCUCCUCUCUCUCUCUCUCUCUCUAAGACCAUCUCUCUCUUUUCUUCUUCAUUUUCCUCGACACCCCCAAAUCCCUUCUAUGGAGAAGUGACAGUUGGCGGAGGCGACGACACUACGAGAGGAGGAGAUGAAGGUACAGGGGGCGGGGAUGAUGU
rnacentral:lncRNA from 1 species